rnacentral:rRNA from 1 species
UACGAAGGGGGCUAGCGUUGCUCGGAAUCACUGGGCGUAAAGGGUGCGUAGGCGGGUUUUUAAGUCAGGGGUGAAAUCCUGGAGCUCAACUCCAGAACUGCCUUUGAUACUGAAGAUCUUGAGUUCGGGAGAGGUGAGUGGAACUGCGAGUGUAGAGGUGAAAUUCGUAGAUAUUCGCAAGAACACCAGUGGCGAAGGCGGCUCACUGGCCCGAUACUGACGCUAAGGCACGAAAGCGUGGGGAGCAAACAGG